UCCCUGGUGGCUCAGAUGGUAAAGCAUCUGCCUGCAAUGCAGGAGACCCAGGUUCAAUCCUGAGUUGGGAA
rnacentral:tRNA from 1 species